CUUACGCUCUAAACCCAGAAACGUUUCUUUGUGGGUCUCACUCCUAUCAUCUUCUCUAAUCUUCAAAAGAAUUAAGUUCAUAACAUCACACAAGCAUGGCUAAUGGUUUUGCAAGAUCAGUUGGACGUCGACUUGUACAAACCACCAAAUCUUCCAAUGAAAUUAAUAUCAAACACAAAACCAUUAUAAUAGGAGUAAGAAGAGCAAUAACAAUAGGUUUCAUUUCUCCCAAAAUUUGCUUUAAAAUCGGGAAUUGCUGCUAGAAAUAAGGUAAAUUCUGAAAUGGAGGUGGAGGAUGAAUUGGGUAGAUCGCGAAGAAUGAAACUCACCCACUCUAUAAUAAUGGUUGAUGUAUAUAUGGAGUAAAGUUUGACCCUUAGAGGGUCGAAGAAGAUGAGAAAGUGAAGAUUGGGAUUUUUAAGAUUACAUAAGAUGAGUGGUUCUGUGGUUUGAAGGUUAUAUAAUUGUGAGAAUGGUGGAGGGGCAGAACAAAUUUGGAAUUGAAGCAGAGAUUCAGAGAUUGAGGUGACGGCGGCGGUGGUCAAUGUGUUUCUUUGGGGAUGGGAAAUGAGCAUCAACUCUCAAAGUACUAUAUAGUUGUGUGCGAAUGCUGAGGCAUGCCCACCCAUUUCAUCAACACUUAGACUUCCUACUUAAAUCUAUUUCUGGAUCUGUAAUGGAGAUGAGAAAGGCAGAGGAAAAUCAAGUUUCUGGGUUUAGCGCGUGUGAGAGAUCGAGGAAGGGAUGUGGUCAAAGCAAGAAGAGAGGUGGUGAGACCCAGUUUAAAAUACAGUUGAUUCCUCUAGUCGACAUGUGUCCAUCCGCACUCUUUUCAUUUUGCGGACGUCCUCCUCAGAUCCUAACUGUAUAACCAAGUUCAAAUGGUAUGUUUAAUUAGACUUGCUAGUGCAUCAUAAUUCAUGACUAAAAUUAUCUCCAAUCAUAUAUAUUAAUUAGACAUGAUCAGAAGAAUAUUAAUCACAAACUCAAUGCUAAGUUGCUCACUGUCCCAGAUCGGAAAAGAUCAAGAUAUAAAAACAUGUAGAAGAUGAAAUUACAGAUUAGGCAUCAAGCAGUAUAGAAAUUAGUAGGAGAUCGACUAACCUGGAGGAAUUGCAGAAGCAAAUGUAUUCUGAAACAGGAAAUAAUCAACCCGCGGUAAGACUAAAAAGAUCAAUACCAGAGCGAUGACUGAAUGGGAAGAAGAUGCAAGGAUGGUUGGGUUUCUUGGGUCUUCUAACCUGUCCAAAUCUCACACACCUUCUCGGCAAAUGAACAACUCGAACAAAAAUACAUAUAACAUAUUCAUGGUAGUUGCCUAAUUAAGUUGAAUAUCAUACUCAAAGUAAGCAACUUCCAGGUGAAUGUAUCAAUAAGUUCAAUGCUUNNNNNNNNNNNNNNNNNNNNCCAGAUAGAUAUAGUUUCUUUAAGAGGAUAGACAGCCGAUAUUAUCAGGGAUAGCUCCUUCCAAAGAUUGCAGUACGACAAAUCCAGUUUGGUUAAAGAAUGUAAACCAGCAAAGGAAGGCAGCAACUUAGAUAUCGGUGGUCCUUUACAUCUACAAAAGACUAAUUCUUUGAGAUUUCGAAGACCCAUGCAUGCAGGCAGUUCUCUCAAGGCAGUUCCAUUCACAUUAAGUUGUACCAGACUCUCUAAAUGGCCCAAGUCUGCCGGUAAUUUCUCAAGCUUCGAGCAAUCUGAAAGAUCAAAAACUUUCAGCGAUUUUAAGCCAGAUACCCUGCUUGGAAGAAGCCUAAGGUUUUCGCAACGCAUCAAGUUUAUCUGAACAAGUCUUUCAAGGAAUCCAACGGAUGAAUCAACCUCGUACAGCUGUAUACAACCUUCAAGAUUCAAGUAUUCAAGAUCUGGACUACCACUGAAGUCAGGGGUCUUCAGAAGAUUCAAAGAGUGACUGAGGUCGAUUCGUUUCAAACUGUAUAGAGGCUGUAAAUACAUAUAUAGCAAAAUUAGCUUCCAUUAUUCAAUAAAUACAUAUAAAACUUAAAUACGUUGUGACAUGGUACCUUUUCACCCUCCCACAGAUAUUCAAUAUGGCUAUGGCGCAUUUCAAGUACUUGUAAGUACUCUAGGCUGGUAACUGACGCCAAAGAUUGUAGAGGACAUUUCCACCAGAUUAGACUCCGUAACUCACUUGAAAGAUACUCGAGGCAGUCCGAGAGGUGCACACAAACACCAUCAAGUAUCAGUAUUCUCAAAUUUGUCAUCUUUGAAAAGGAUUUUCCGGGAAAGUGUAAUUCUGUGUCUGCAUCUUUAUUCACACGUAGUACUAUGGCUUCCGCUGCAUCUGUUCCCUAAUAAACAUAAAUAAAGAAUAGUCAGCUCGGACCUUGUUAUAAAAUGCAAUAGCAACUGAAGUCAUUGUUGCAGUAAGUUUCUCACUCUAUUUUUUCUCAGGACGUGAAUAACAUCCUUUUUAAGGCUCAACCUACUGCGCUUGCCUGGCUCCUUAGGAGAUUCUCGGCGAACAAUUUCUAGGCCCAUUUCUUGCAGCAAAUCAUGCAUUUCUAGUUGUUCUACACUGCCAGCAUCUGAAAUAGUUAAGAGAGAUCUCUCCACAAGUACAUCAAUCCCAAUAGUUGCAUGAAAGCCACAACUCUUGAGUACUUCUAUUACUGCAUUUUUCUCAUAUCCUUUGUAUAAACAUGCAAUAUCUAGAAAGAUAUUCUUCUCAUCGUCAUCUAGACCAUCAUAACUUAUUUUAAGUGUCUCGAAAAUUUCUGCAUUACGAACUUCUCUCAAUUUUGCCAACGUACUUUCCCAUGCACUAGGACCUCUUCCAUGCAAAAGAGAUCCCAAGACUUUAAGAGCUAGAGGGAGACCUUUAGCAUAAUUCACAACUUGAUUAGACAAAUCACGGUAACUUUGUUCAGGGUAAUCUUUCUUAAAGGCGUUCUGGCAAAAAAGCUGAAGAGCUUCAAUAGUAUUUAGUCCUUGGACCUCAUAUCUUCUCAGCACUCCAUGUUUAACUAACAGGUGAGCAUCUCUAGUUGUAAUGAUAAUUAUGCUUCCAAAACCAAACCAGUCUUCCUUUCCAGCCAAGUACUCCAAAUGGUCCGAAUGAUUAACAUCAUCAAGAACGAGAAGAACCCUUUUGUGACGUAGAAAUCUCUUUAUCAUUGUGGCUCCUUCAUGAACAUCCCGUACGUUAGUCCUAGAAAUAAGUUCCUUUUGUAACUGAACCAGACCCCUUCUUUCUUCAUUGCUUCUAACAUUAGAAAUAAAGCCCCUGAACUCAAACUGAUUAGAGAUUUGAUCAAAAAGUACUUUGGCAAUCGUUGUCUUACCAAUUCCACCCAUUCCCCAUACCCCUAUAAAGUGAAUAUCAUUCAUCCCUACACCUAAAAGCGAUUUAACUGCUUCUACUCUUGAAUCAAUCCCAACUAGGUUCUCCAUUGAACUAAACAAUGUUGGGCGUGAUUGCAUCCUUACUGCAGCAACAAUGUUCUUGAUGAGCUCCGAUUCAUACCUGGAAUAGAUGAGAAACAAUAUUGACCAGUUUCUUCAUGCUGCAGUGACACUCACAUACAUAGAAGAGGCAGAAAUUAAAGAAAUAAAUUGAAUGAAUACCUGUAGUCCUUUGAAUUCCACCCAGAGUAAGUUUGACACUUUUGUUAGAGCAGCUCUCCACUUUUGCACCUUCUCUGUGUCGUCACUAGGUCUCUUUUCAUGUUUGGUGAAGGCUUCUGCAAAAUUUCCAGUUUGUCGUCUCACUUCACAGGGAUCGACAUUAUAGAAUAUUGGAUAAAUUGUUUUCCUAGCUUCCAUGCACUCAAGAAUCUUCAAAAGUUCAUCCAAGCACCAUGCUGAAGAUGCAUAAUUUAGUGAGAGUACGACGAGUGCAAUAUUUGAUUCUUCAAUUGCAGCGAAAAGUUCCGUAGAAAUAGAUUUCCCUUUUUGGAGCUCACGGUCAUCCAUGAAAGUUUUUAUUCCCUGAUCUUCCAGUGAAUUGUAUAAGUAGUUUGUAUAACCGUUCCGGGUGUCUAUACCUCGGAAACUUAGAAAGACAUCAUAUUUCCAUUCAGAAGUUGACGAAGGAAAAGAUGUAGAGGCUCUUUCUGAACUCAUUGUGACUGGAAACUACUGUCUUAUCUGUCACUGUUUAUUGGAGAUUGUCUCGGGAUCAUGAACUAUAUGCCAGGUACCAAUUCUAGCAUGAAGAACAAGCAAUUCGUUUGUUUCCUCCUUCACAGAAAUAGAUAAAAACUUAGUUAUUUAGUGAACCAUAUCUGUGUAAAUUCUGAAAAGAGUGGUAUACUAUUAUCUGGUUCUGGAAUCUACUAAACAAAGACUCGCUCUUUUUAAAGAUAUAUAUAUAUAUACAGUUAGGAUCUGGGGAGGACGUCCGUAAAAUGAAAAGGGUGCGGAUGGACAUGUGUCGGCCACAGGAAUCAACUGCAUUUUAUAGUGGGACCCACCACGUCCUUGACUGCAUCCCUUCCUUUCUUUUACGCUCUAAACCCAGAAACGUUUCUUUGUGGGUCUCACUCCUAUCAUCUUCUCUAAUCUUCAAAAGAAUUAAGUUCAUAACAUCACACAAGCAUGGCUAAUGGUUUUGCAAGAUCAGUUGGACGUCGACUUGUACAAACCACCAAAUCUUCCAAUGAAAUUAAUAUCAAACACAAAACCAUUAUAAUAGGAGUAAGAAGAGCAAUAACAAUAGGUUUCAUUUCUCCCAAAAUUUGCUUUAAAAUCGGGAAUUGCUGCUAGAAAUAAGGUAAAUUCUGAAAUGGAGGUGGAGGAUGAAUUGGGUAGAUCGCGAAGAAUGAAACUCACCCACUCUAUAAUAAUGGUUGAUGUAUAUAUGGAGUAAAGUUUGACCCUUAGAGGGUCGAAGAAGAUGAGAAAGUGAAGAUUGGGAUUUUUAAGAUUACAUAAGAUGAGUGGUUCUGUGGUUUGAAGGUUAUAUAAUUGUGAGAAUGGUGGAGGGGCAGAACAAAUUUGGAAUUGAAGCAGAGAUUCAGAGAUUGAGGUGACGGCGGCGGUGGUCAAUGUGUUUCUUUGGGGAUGGGAAAUGAGCAUCAACUCUCAAAGUACUAUAUAGUUGUGUGCGAAUGCUGAGGCAUGCCCACCCAUUUCAUCAACACUUAGACUUCCUACUUAAAUCUAUUUCUGGAUCUGUAAUGGAGAUGAGAAAGGCAGAGGAAAAUCAAGUUUCUGGGUUUUAGCGCGUGUGAGAGAUCGAGGAAGGGACGUGGUCAAAGUAAGAAGAGAGGUGGUGAGACCCAGUUUAAAAUACAGUUGAUUCCUCUAGUCGACAUGUGUCCAUCCGCACUCUUUUCAUUUUUGCGGACGUCCUCCUCAGAUCCUAACUGUAUAACCAAGUUCAAAUGGUAUGUUUAAUUAGACUUGCUAGUGCAUCAUAAUUCAUGACUAAAAUUAUCUCCAAUCAUAUAUAUUAAUUAAACAUGAUCAGAAGAAUAUUAAUCACAAACUCAAUGCUAAGUUGCUCACUGUCCCAGAUCGGAAAAGAUUAAGAUACAAAAACAUGUAGAAGAUGAAAUUACAGAUUAGGCAUCAAGCAGUAUAGAAAUUAGUAGGAGAUCGACUAACCUGGAGGAAUUGCAGAAGCAAAUGUAUUCUGAAACAGGAAAUAAUCAACCCGCGGUAAGACUAAAAAGAUCAAUACCAGAGCGAUGACUGAAUGGGAAGAAGAUGCAAGGAUGGUUGGGUUUCUUGGGUCUUCUAACCUGUCCAAAUCUCACACACCUUCUCGGCAAAUGAACAACUCGAACAAAAAUACAUAUAACAUAUUCAUGGUAGUUGCCUAAUUAAGUUGAAUAUCAUACUCAAAGUAAGCAACUUCCAGGUGAAUGUAUCAAUAAGUUCAAUGCUUCACCAUUUGUUUCUUUAAGUUUGAAGCUCGAUAUAUUAUAUAGAGAAAGAGAGUCAUCAUAGAGAUUAGCUCAGUAGCUAGUUGAACAACCAAGUUGGUCAUAAACAAUUAU
rnacentral:lncRNA from 1 species